rnacentral:rRNA from 1 species
UACGUAGGGUGCAAGCGUUGUCCGGAAUUAUUGGGCGUAAAGAGCUCGUAGGCGGUCUGUCGCGUCGAAUGUGAAAACCCGGGGCUCAACCCCGGGCCUGCAUUCGAUACGGGCAGACUAGAGUUCGGUAGGGGAGUCUGGAAUUCCUGGUGUAGCGGUGAAAUGCGCAGAUAUCAGGAGGAACACCAAUUGCGAAGGCAGCUCGCUGGGACGUAACUGACGCUGAGGCACGAAAGCGUGGGGAUCAAACAGG